GAGGUAAUAAAACGUUUUAUGUAUUUUAUAAAUAAAAUAUAAAUUUCUAUAUUUAUUAAACAUUUUUAAUAUUAUUAAAACUAUUUUUUGUAAUUAUUAAACAUUUUAAAUAUUUUUAAAACUAUUUUUUGUAAUUAUUAAACUGUUUUUGGGGUUUAUUAAAACUAUUUUUUUAAUUUUUAAACUAUUUUUUAUUUAUUAAAACUUUUUUUUGUUAAUUAUUAAACUAUUUAUAUUUUUGUGAUUAAAAACUAUUUUUAAUUAAAACUAUUUUUUUUUAAUUUACAGGUCUAAUGAUGAUCAGAUCCGGCCUCGCCAGCGUCGUAGCUGGGGUGGUAUGGGGAGCCAGUCUCGGGGUUCGUCCAGCCAUGUUCAGGAUUCCGUUUCGCCCCACAGCUCCUACCAUACAUCUCCCUCUCCAUUACCCGCUCCUGCUGCUCCCGCUCCCGCUGCUACACCCGCUCCUGCUCCUCCGGGUCCUCCGGGAGUGAUAAGUGUUGCGGAGUUGGUUCGACAGCCCGGUCGUGACCAUCUUCCCUAUCUCACUGAGUAUCCACAUGGACAUGGUCAAACAUGGUAAUUAAACUUUUAUUUUUUUAACUAUUUUUUAUUUAAACUAUUUUUUUUAUUAAUAAUUUGUUUUUUUAUUAGGUUCAACCGAUCCGGGAACGGGAUCAGCGCAUGGAUCAACCGUAUGAUGUACUCGGCCCUCGACAAGGGACAUCCGACUUUCACUGACUUCCCUCCCGAGAAGCAGCAUCUGUGGUUUCGUCAGUUUGCGGUAAGUAUUCAAAUUUUUUACUUAUAUUUUUUAUUUAUUAAAACUAUUUUUUGUAAUUAUUAAACUAUUUUCUAUAUUUAUUAGACAUUUUAAAUAUUAUUAAAACUAUUUUUUUAAUUAUUAAACUAUUUUUUAUUUAUUAAAACUUUUUUUUGUAAUUAUUAAACUAUUUUCUAUAUUUAUUAAAUUAUUUUUUAUUUAUUAAAACUUUUUUUUGUAAUUAUUAAACUAUUUAUAUUUUUGUGCUUAAAACCUAUUUUUAAACUAUUUCAGCAAGAAUUCAACUGGAAUUCCGAUGAUACGCUCUCUAUCUAUCACCAUUUUGUCCAUAAAGUUAUGGACAACUAUGGGAAGCAGAUGUACGAGUGGAAGAAGAAGUGGGAAGUAAACAAGGUAGUUUUUAAUUUAUUAACAAUUUUUAAUUUAUUAAACUAUUUUUUAAAUUAUUAAACUUUUUUUUUUUAAAUUAAAAGGUCCCAAAGUCGAUGAACGACACGGUCUGGAAGGAGUUGUGUGCACAUUGGGAUAAGGAAGAGACGAAAGAAACUUCUUCCACCAACUCCAACAACCGUAGGAGCGACCGUAAAGGGAAGGGCAUCUACAAGCAUAACUUGGGUGCUCAAUCUAUUGCCACUCUAGAGGAUCGCAUGGUAAGUUCAACCGCUUUUUCUUCAAUUAUUUAAGUUUCAGAAUUUUUUUUUUUGUGCAUUUUUUCAAAUUUCUAAUGUUUGUUUAAUUUAUUUUUUUUCAAGGCGGAAGAAAAUGAGGGCGACCCGGUUGAUGAUUUCGCCCUUAUGAAAAGGGCGUAUACCAACAAGAAGACCGGCCAGAUUGAUGAUGGUCUUGUGAGGGACGUGGUCGACCUGGUCCAAACUCAGGUGUAUGACGAAGUGUCUCAGCUUCAAACCGAUGAUGACGAUUCGACGGCUUCGACCAACUUGUCCCGGGUUCGAAUCAACGAAAUCGUUGAAUCGGUAAGUUUUUUUUUUUUAAAGUUCAAUUUAAUUAUUUCUUAAUUUUUAUUUUAUCAUCAAUUUAUAUUAUCUAAAUUUGGUUAUUUAUAUUUCAGUCGGUUCCAAAGAAAAAGGGACGUUUGGUCGGUUUGGGUCGUCGCUCCCGGUCGGCUGCUCCUUCUUCUGCACCACCGGCAUAUGUUGAUCCAGAAGUUCUUACGGCUCAGCUGAAAGACAAGGAUGAUCGUGUAUCUGCGUUGGAGACCCAGAUGGCGGCUCAACAGGCGGGCUAUGAGACCCAGAAGAGGCUGAACGAGCAGAUGAUGGAGAUGAUGAAGAGGAUGUACCCGAACAUUCCGGAGCAGUAGUUUUUUUUUUUUACCAAAAACUCUAAAUGUUUUAUUUAACUUUGAAUAUUAUCUACUAUGUUUUAAUGUUUUAUGUUUUAUUCAAUUUUAAUUUUAAUUUUAAAUUUUCGAAUUUAAAUUUUAAAAAUUUUAAUUUUUAAAAAUAAAAUUAAUUUUUUAAAAAAUUAAUUUUUUGGAAAUUCCGAGGGAAAGAAGUUCCUCGGAAAAUUCC
rnacentral:lncRNA from 1 species